rnacentral:rRNA from 1 species
UACGUAGGGUGCGAGCGUUAAUCGGAAUUACUGGGCGUAAAGCGUGCGCAGGCGGUUUUGUAAGCCAGGGGUGAAAUCCCCGGGCUCAACCUGGGAAUGGCAUUUGGGACUGCAAGGCUGGAGUGCGGCAGAGGAGACUGGAAUUCCUGGUGUAGCAGUGAAAUGCGUAGAUAUCAGGAGGAAUACCGAUGGCGAAGGCAGGUCUCUGGGCUGACACUGACGCUCAUGCACGAAAGCGUGGGGAGCAACCAGG